rnacentral:rRNA from 1 species
CCUACGGGCGGCAGCAGUGAGGAAUAUUGGUCAAUGGACGCAAGUCUGAACCAGCCAUGCCGCGUGCAGGAAGACGGCUCUAUGAGUUGUAAACUGCUUUUGUACGAGGGUAAACGCAGAUACGCGUAUCUGUCUGAAAGUAUCUUACGAAUAAGGAUCGGCUAACUCCGUGCCAGCAGCCGCGGUAAUACGGAGGAUUCAAGCGUUAUCCGGAUUUAUUGGGUUUAAAGGGUGCGUAGGCGGUCGGAUAAGUUAGAGGUGAAAUCCCGAGGCUCAACUUCGGAAUUGCCUCUGAUACUGUUCGGCGAGAGAGUAGUUGCGGUAGGCGGAAUGUAUGGUGUAGCGGUGAAAUGCUUAGAGAUCAUACAGAACACCGAUUGCGAAGGCAGCUUACCAAGCUACGUCUGACGUUGAGGCACGAAAGCGUGGGGAGCAAACAGGAUUAGAUACCCGAGUAGUC